GUGGGGAAUAUUGGGCAAUGGGCGAAAGCCUGACCCAGCAACGCCGCGUGAAGGAAGAAGGUUUUCGGAUCGUAAACUUCUAUCCUUGGUGAAGAUAAUGACGGUAGCCAAGAAGGAAGCCCCGGCUAACUACGUGCCAGCAGCCGCGGUAAUACGUAGGGGGCGAGCGUUGUCCGGAAUGAUUGGGCGUAAAGGGCGCGUAGGCGGCCUGGUAAGUCUGGAGUGAAAGUCCUGCUUUUAAGGUGGGAAUUGCUUUGGAUACUGUCGGGCUUGAGUGCAGGAGAGGUAAGUGGAAUUCCCGGUGUAGCGGUGAAAUGCGUAGAGAUCGGGAGGAACACCAGUGGCGAAGGCGACUUACUGGACUGUAACUGACGCUGAGGCGCGAAAGUGUGGGGAGCAAACAGGAUUAGAAACCCGUGUAGUCC
rnacentral:rRNA from 1 species